UACGUAGGGUGCAAGCGUUAUCCGGAAUUAUUGGGCGUAAAGAGCUCGUAGGCGGUUUGUCGCGUCUGCUGUGAAAACUGGGGGCUCAACCCCCAGCCUGCAGUGGGUACGGGCAGACUAGAGUGCGGUAGGGGGAGAUUGGAAUUCCUGGUGUAGCGGUGGAAUGCGCAGAUAUCAGGAGGAACACCGAUGGCGAAGGCAGUUCUCUGGGCCGUAACUGACGCUGAGGAGCGAAAGCGUGGGGAGCAAACAGG
rnacentral:rRNA from 1 species